AUUGAACGCUGGCGGCAGGCCUAACACAUGCAAGUCGAGCGGGGUUUUCGGACCUAGCGGCGGACGGGUGAGUAAUGCGUAGGAAGCUACCCGAUAGAGGGGGAUACCAGUUGGAAACGACUGUUAAUACCGCAUAAUGUCUACGGACCAAAGUGUGGGACCUUCGGGCCACAUGCUAUCGGAUGCGCCUACGUGGGAUUAGCUAGUUGGUGAGGUAUUGGCUCACCAAGGCGACGAUCCCUAGCUGGUUUGAGAGGAUGAUCAGCCACACUGGAACUGAGACACGGUCCAGACUCCUACGGGAGGCAGCAGUGGGGAAUAUUGGCCAAUGGGCGCAAGCCUGAUCCAGCCAUGCCGCGUGUGUGAAGAAGGCCUUCGGGUUGUAAAGCACUUUCAGUAGGGAGGAAGCGUUGUGUGUUAAUAGUACACAGCGUUGACGUUACCUACAGAAGAAGCACCGGCUAACUCUGUGCCAGCCGCCGCCGUAAAAC
rnacentral:rRNA from 1 species